rnacentral:misc_RNA from 1 species
GAUGAAGAACGUAGCGAAAUGCGAUAAGUAGUGUGAAUUGCAGAAAUCAGUGAAUCAUCGAAUCUUUGAACGCACAUUGCGCCCUUUGGUAUUCCAAAGGGCAUGCCUGUUCGAGCGUCAUUUGUACCCUCAAGCUUUGCUUGGUGUUGGGCGUCUUGUCUCUAGCUUUGCUGGAGACUCGCCUUAAAGUAAUUGGCAGCCGGCCUACUGGUUUCGGAGCGCAGCACAAGUCGCACUCUCUAUCAGCAAAGGUCUAGCAUCCAUUAAGCCUUUUUUUCAACUUUUGACCUCGGAUCAGGUAGGGAUACCCGCUGAACUUAAGCAUAUCAAUAAGCGGAGGA